AAAGACGAUGCGAGGCAUCUGGGCUGAUUACUUGGUGUCUGCAGCUUCAAGAACCAGGUUCAAUUCCCCUCCAAGUGCACCUGGGCUGCCUCCUCUUAAUCUUGCUGCACCGCAGCAGCCCCUCCCCAACCCGGUAAAAUGUGGGCGAUAAUUCCUUUCUUACAAGGCCCUUCACAGAUACCUGCUGGUCUCUCCCACUUGGCCAAGGAAACACUUGUGGUUAAUAAGUCUCAGAAAAGUUAUGUGAAAGUUAAAAGUAAAACUGACAGCAGCUGAAGGAUGGGGGGGUGGGAGGUGGUGACGG
rnacentral:lncRNA from 10 species